ACGAGGGGAGCUAGCGUUGUUCGGAAUUACUGGGCGUAAAGCGCGCGUAGGCGGCUUUUUAAGUCAGAGGUGAAAGCCCGGGGCUCAACCCCGGAAUAGCCUUUGAAACUGGAAAGCUAGAAUCUUGGAGAGGUCAGUGGAAUUCCGAGUGUAGAGGUGAAAUUCGUAGAUAUUCGGAAGAACACCAGUGGCGAAGGCGACUGACUGGACAAGUAUUGACGCUGAGGUGCGAAAGCGUGGGGAGCAAACAG
rnacentral:rRNA from 1 species